rnacentral:rRNA from 1 species
GUAGGUGGCAAGCGUUGUCCGGGAAUUAUUGGGCGUAAAGCGCGCGCAGGCGGUUCGUUUAAGUCUGAUGUGAAAGCCCACGGGCUCAACCGUGGAGGGUCAUUGGAAACUGGAGAACUUGAGUACAGAAGAGGAAAGCGGAAUUCCACGUGUAGCGGUGAAAUGCGUAGAGAUGUGGAGGAACACCAGUGGCGAAGGCGGCUUUCUGGUCUGUAACUGACGCUGAGGCGCGAAAGCGUGGGGAGCAAACAGGAUUAGAUACCCUGGUAGUCCACGCCGUAAACGAUGAGUGCUAAGUGUUAGGGGGGUUUCCGCCCCUUACGUGCUGCAGCUAACGCAUUAAGCACUCCGCCUGGGGAGUACGGCCGCAAAGGCUG